rnacentral:rRNA from 1 species
AGUGAACGCUGGCGGUAGGCCUAACACAUGCAAGUCGAACGGCAGCACAGGAGAGCUUGCUCUCUGGGUGGCGAGUGGCGGACGGGUGAGGAAUACAUCGGAAUCUACUUUUUCGUGGGGGAUAACGUAGGGAAACUUACGCUAAUACCGCAUACGACCUACGGGUGAAAGCAGGGGAUCUUCGGACCUUGCGCGAUUGAAUGAGCCGAUGUCGGAUUAGCUAGUUGGCGGGGUAAAGGCCCACCAAGGCGACGAUCCGUAGCUGGUCUGAGAGGGUGAUGAGCCACACUGGAACUGGGCCACGGUCCAGACUCCUACGGGAGGCAGCAGUGGGGAAUAUUGGACAAUGGGCGCAAGCCUGGUCCAGCCAUACCGCGUGGGUGAAGAAGGCCUUCGGGUUGUAAAGCCCUUUUGUUGGGAAAGAAAUCCAGCUGGUUAAUACCCGGUUGGGAUGACGGUACCCAAAGAAUAAGCACCGGCUAACUUCGUGCCAGCCGCCGCCGUAA